GUGGAGGGAAACCAUCAUCAGAGAGGAGAGACCAGCGUGUACUCUGGGAGGCCGCAGGGAACGUGCAUGUGUGGGGGCACCAGUGCUGACCACCCGACUCCCGUCUUCCCCUUGCAGUGGAACAGGUGGCCAACGUGGUUCUCUACUCGAGUGAUUAUUACGUCAAGCCCGUGGCUAUGGAGGAAGCGCAAGAAAAAGUGCCGCCAAACAGCACUUUGACCAAGACACUGACGCUACUGCCCUUGCUGGCUAACAAUCGAGAAAGGAGAGGCAUUGCCCUGGAUGGGAAAAUCAAGCAUGAGGACACAAACCUUGCCUCCAGCACCAUCAUUAAGGAGGGCAUAGACCGGACCGUCCUGGGGAUCCUGGUGUCUUACCAGAUCAAGGUGAAGCUUACGGUGUCAGGCUUUCUGGGAGAGCUCACCUCCAGUGAAGUCGCCACUGAGGUCCCAUUCCGCCUCAUGCACCCUCAGCCUGAGGACCCAGCUAAGGAAAG
rnacentral:sRNA from 1 species